AUUCCUACGGGAGGCAGCAGUGGGGGAUAUUGCACAAUGGAGGAAACUCUGAUGCAGCGACGCCGCGUGAGGGAAGAAGGUCUUCGGAUUGUAAACCUCUGUCUUUGGGGACGAAUCAAUGACGGUACCCAAGGAGGAAGCCACGGCUAACUACGUGCCAGCAGCCGCGGUAAUAAUCU
rnacentral:rRNA from 1 species